rfam:Candidatus Micrarchaeota archaeon CG1_02_60_51 cg1_0.2_scaffold_2040_c, whole genome shotgun sequence.
GCCGCAGUAGCUUAGCCUGGGAGAGCGAUCGGCUGAAGACCGAUAGAUCGGGAGUUCAAAUCUCCCCUGCGGCA